rnacentral:rRNA from 1 species
GAACACUAGGUGUGGCGGACUAAUUCACGUCUGCUGCGCCGUAGCUAACGCAUUAAGUGUUCCGCCUGGGGAGUACGGCCGCAAGGCUAAAACUCAAAGGAAUUGACGGGGCCCCGCACAAGCGGCGGAGCAUGCGGCUUAAUUCGAUGCAACCCGAAGAACCUUACCUGGGUUUGACAUGGUGGGUCUAGCUGUGGAAACACAGUGUGCUUAGGCGCUCAUCACAGGUGGUGCAUGGCUGUCGUCAGCUCGUGUCGUGAGAUGUUGGGUUAAGUCCCGCAACGAGCGCAACCCUUGUCCUAUGUUGCCAGCACGUAAUGGUGGGGACUCAUGGGAGACUGCCGUGGACAACACGGAGGAAGGCGAGGACGAUGUCAAGUCAUCAUGCCCCUUAUAUCCAGGGCUGCACGCAUGCUACAAUGGGCGGUACAGUGGGCCGCGAUCUCGCAAGAGUCAGCCAAUCCCUCAAAGCCGUCCCCAGUUCGGAUUGAAGUCUGCAACUCGACUUCAUGAAGCCGGAGUCGCUAGUAAUCGUGGAUCAGCUAUGCCACGGUGAAUACGUUCUCGGGGCUUGUACGCACCGCCCGUCACAUCACGGAAGUCGGUAACACCCGAAGUCAGUGGCCUAACCCUUUAUUGGGAAGGAGCUGCCUAAGGUGGGAUUGGUAACUGGGAUGAAGUCGUAACAAGGUAACCGUA